rnacentral:rRNA from 1 species
CCUACGGGUGGCAGCAGUGAGGAAUAUUGGUCAAUGGGCGCGAGCCUGAACCAGCCAAGUCGCGUGAGGGAUGACUGCCCUACGGGUUGUAAACUUCUUUUAUUCAGGAAUAAAGUGAGGCACGUGUGCCUUUUUGUCUGUACUGUAUGAAUAAGCAUCGGCUAACUCCGUGCCAGCAGCCGCGGUAAUACGGAGGAUCCGAGCGUUAUCCGGAUUUAUUGGGUUUAAAGGGAGCGUAGAUGGGUUGUUAAGUCAGUUGUGAAAGUUUGCGGCUCAACCGUAAAAUUGCAAUUGAAACUGGCAGCCUUGAGUACAGUCGAGGUAGGCGGAAUACGUGGUGUAGCGGUGAAAUGCUUAGAUAUCACUAAGAACUCCGAUUGCGAAGGCAGCUUACUAAACUGCCACUGACACUGAUGCUCGAAAGUGUGGGUAGCAAACAGGAUUAGAUACCCGGGUAGUC